CCUACGGGUGGCAGCAGUAGGGAAUCUUCCACAAUGGGCGAAAGCCUGAUGGAGCAACGCCGCGUGGGUGAAGAAGGUCUUCGGAUCGUAAAACCCUGUUGUUAGAGAAGAAAGUGCGUGAGAGUAACUGUUCACGUUUCGACGGUAUCUAACAAGAAAGCCACGGCUAACUACGUGCCAGCAGCAGCGGUAAUACGUAGGUGGCAAGCGUUAUCGGGAUUUAUUGGGCGUAAAGGGAACGCAGGCGGUCUUUUAAGUCUGAUGUGAAGGCCUUCGGCUUAACCGGAGUAGUGCAUUGGAAACUGGGAGACUGGAGGGCAGAAGAGGAGAGUGGAACUCCAUGUGUAGCGGUGAAAUGCGUAGAUAUAUGGAAGAACACCAGGGGCGAAAGCGGCUCUCUGGUCUGUAACUGACGCUGAGGUUCGAAAGCGUGGGUAGCAAACAGGAUUAGAUACCCCUGUAGUC
rnacentral:rRNA from 1 species